rnacentral:tRNA from 1 species
GAUGAGAUGGCUCAGUGGUUAAGAGCACUGACUGUUCUUUCAGAGGUCCUGAGUUCAAUUCCCAGUAACCGCA